rnacentral:rRNA from 1 species
GACGUAGGGUGCGAGCGUUGUCCGGAUUUAUUGGGCGUAAAGAGCGCGUAGGCGGCUCGGUAAGCCGGAUGUGAAACCUCCAAGCUCAACUUGGAGCGGCCAUUCGGAACUGCUGUGGCUAGAGUCUGGUAGGGGAACACGGAAUACCUGGUGUAGCGGUGAAAUGCGCAGAUAUCGGGAGGAACACCAGCGGCGAAGGCGGCACUCUGGGCUGGUACUGACGCUGAGGAGCGAAAGCGUGGGUAGCAAACAGG